GCCGGACGGGGCAGCCUGCUCGGCAGGCAGCGGGCAGCCUCCGCCCGCGGGUGGGUAAGCGGUGGUUCCCGGGUCAGGGAGCCUGCAGAGGGGCUCACAGCACUUCUGCAGCUGUUGUCUGUUUCUCCGGUUCCCAGAAAUACCCUUCCCUUUUGAAAAGACUUCUUUUUGCUUUGAAGCUACGGGCUGGAGGAUUUACAAUACUUGCCCCAGGUCGCAACACAAGGUCAGACUGGGUGUGGCCAAUCAUUUCAGUUGGUUGGACUCAUGAUAGAGAAGGAGAUGUUUUCAUCUGUUGGAGGUGGGAGGACGUGCUCUUCAGGCCUUUCAGAUGCUGCUUACAGAAGGAUGGCUGAAGGACAUUAGCCCCUCCAGAUCUAGCCUCAGAGUGACACCUCUACACAUACAAGAUUUACCCGCCUAUUAAUGUGCUGCCCUCGUUGUCUCGGUGAAUGAAGUCUGCUACUGGAGAAGGUAUGACCAGAAAGGAUCACGCCGAUGUAUCUAACCAGCUGUAUGCAUGCUAUGCUAUUGGUAAGGAUGUGCAGGCCAUGAAAGCCGUAGUUGGAGAAGAAGCCCUUACCUCAGAUGAUGUGCUUUACUUGGAAUUUCUGCAGAAGUUUGAGAGGAACUUCAUUGCUCAGGGUCCUUACGAAAACCGCACUGUCUAUGAGACUUUGGACAUUGGCUGGCAACUGCUCCGG